AUUGAACGCUGGCGGCAGGCCUAACACAUGCAAGUCGAGCGGAUGAAGGGAGCUUGCUCCUGGAUUCAGCGGCGGACGGGUGAGUAAUGCCUAGGAAUCUGCCUGGUAGUGGGGGAUAACGUCCGGAAACGGGCGCUAAUACCGCAUACGUCCUGAGGGAGAAAGUGGGGGAUCUUCGGACCUCACGCUAUCAGAUGAGCCUAGGUCGGAUUAGCUAGUUGGUGGGGUAAAGGCCUACCAAGGCGACGAUCCGUAACUGGUCUGAGGGGAUGAUCAGUCACACUGGAAAGGAGACGAGGUCCAGAAUCCUAAGGGAGGCAGCAGUGGGGAAUAUUGGACAAUGGGCGAAAGCCUGAUCCAGCCAUGCCGCGUGUGUGAAGAAGGUCUUCGGAUUGUAAAGCACUUUAAGUUGGGAGGAAGGGAAGUAAGUUAAUACCUUGCUGUUUUGACGUUACCAACAGAAUAAGCACCGGCUAACUUCGU
rnacentral:rRNA from 1 species